CCUUCGGUAGCUCAGUUGGUAGAGCGGGGGUCUGUAGACUUCUCUGGCGCUGGUUCGAAUCCAGCCUGAAGGA